GGCGAGAUAGCUCAGGUGGUUAGAGCGUCGGAUUCAUAACCCGGAGGUCGAGGGUUCAAUUCCCUCUCUCGCUA
rnacentral:tRNA from 1 species